rnacentral:rRNA from 1 species
AAUAGAUACCCAGGUAGUCCACGCCGUAAACGAUGAGUGCUAAGUGUUAGAGGGUUUCCGCCCUUUAGUGCUGCAGCUAACGCAUUAAGCACUCCGCCUGGGGAGUACGGCCGCAAGGCUGAAACUCAAAGGAAUUGACGGGGGCCCGCACAAGCGGUGGAGCAUGUGGUUUAAUUCGAAGCAACGCGAAGAACCUUACCAGGUCUUGACAUCCUCUGCCAACUCUAGAGAUAGGGCGUUCCCCUUCGGGGGACAGAGUGACAGGUGGUGCAUGGUUGUCGUCAGCUCGUGUCGUGAGAUGUUGGGUUAAGUCCCGCAACGAGCGCAACCCUUGAUCUUAGUUGCCAGCAUUCAGUUGGGCACUCUAAGGUUGACUGCCGGUGACAAACCGGAGGAAGGUGGGGAUGACGUCAAAUCAUCAUGCCCCUUAUGACCUGGGCUACACACGUGCUACAAUGGAUGGUACAAAGAGUUGCGAACCCGCGAGGGUAAGCCAAUCUCAUAAAGCCAUUCUCAGUUCGGAUUGUAGG